rnacentral:misc_RNA from 1 species
UGGCAGCACCAGUGAAUGCAG